UACGUAGGGUGCAAGCGUUAAUCGGAAUUACUGGGCGUAAAGCGUGCGCAGGCGGUGAUGUAAGACAGGUGUGAAAUCCCCGGGCUUAACCUGGGAACUGCAUUUGUGACUGCAUCGCUGGAGUGCGGCAGAGGGGGAUGGAAUUCCGCGUGUAGCAGUGAAAUGCGUAGAUAUGCGGAGGAACACCGAUGGCGAAGACAAUCCCCUGGGCCUGCACUGACGCUCAUGCACGAAAGCGUGGGGAGCAAACAGG
rnacentral:rRNA from 1 species